UUAGGGUUGGGCUUGGAGCUAGGAUUUUUCUGAGUGCAAUGAACCAACUCCCGAGUCUCUAGGACAUUCCUAAAAAAAUUUGAUUUUUUCCCAUAGGAAUGCAUGGGUUAGGGUUAUGGUUAGGGUUAGGGUUGGAGCUAGGGUUAGGGUUAGGGUUAGGGUUUGAGUUAGGGUUAGUGUCGGAGCUAGGGUUAGGGUUGGGCUUGGAGCUAGGAUUUUUCUGAGUGCACUGAACCAACUCCCGAGUCUCUAGGACAUUCCUAAAAAAAUUUGAUUUUUUCCCAUAGGAAUGCAUGGGUUAGGGUUAUGGUUAGGGUUAGGGUUGGAGCUAGGGUUAGGGUUAGGGUUAGGGUUGGAGUUAGGGUUAGUGUUGGAGCUAGGGUUAGGGUUGGGCUUGGAGCUAGGAUUUUUCUGAGUGCACUGAACCAACUCCCGAGUCUCUAGGACGUUCCUAAAAAAAUUGAUUUUUUCCCAUAGGAAUGCAUGGGUUAGGGUUAGGGUUAGGGUUGGACCUAGGGUUAGGGUUGGAGUUAGGGUUAGUGUUGGAGCUAGGGUUAGGGUUGGGCUUGGAGCUAGGAUUUUUCUGAGUGCACUGAACCAACUCCCGAGUCUCUAGGACAUUCCUAAAAAAACUUGAUUUUUUCCCAUAGGAAUGCAUGGGUUAGGGUUAGGGUUAGGGUUGGAGCUAGGGUUAGGGUUAGGGUUAGGGUUGGAGUUAGGGUUAGUGUUGGAGCUAGGGUUAGGGUUGGGCUUGGAGCUAGGAUUUUUCUGAGUGCACUGAACCAACUCCCGAGUCUCUAGGACAUUCCUAAAAAAAAUUGAUUUUUUCCCAUAGGAAUGCAUGGGUUAGGGUUAUGGUUAGGGUUAGGGUUGGAGCUAGGGUUAGGGUUAGGGUUAGGGUUGGAGUUAGGGUUAGUGUUGGAGCUAGGGUUAGGGUUGGGCUUGGAGCUAGGAUUUUUCUGAGUGCACUGAACCAACUCCCGAGUCUCUAGGACGUUCCUAAAAAAAUUUGAUUUUUUCCCAUAGGAAUGCAUGGGUUAGGGUUAGGGUUAGGGUUGGAGCUAGGGUUAGGGUUAGGGUUAGGGUUGGAGUUAGGGUUAGUGUUGGAGCUAGGGUUAGGGUUGGGCUUGGAGCUAGGAUUUUUCUGAGUGCACUGAACCAACUCCCGAGUCUCUAGGACAUUCCUAAAAAAAUUUGAUUUUUUCCAAUAGGAAUGCAUGGGUUAGGGUUAGGGUUAGGGUUGGAGCUAGGGUUAGGGUUAGGGUUAGGGUUGGAGUUAGGGUUAGGGUUGGAGCUAGGGUUAGGGUUGGGCUUGGAGCUAGGAUUUUUCUGAGUGCACUGAACCAACUCCCGAGUCUCUAGGACAUUCCUAAAAAAAUUUGAUUUUUUCCCAUAGGAAUGCAUGGGUUAGGGUUAGGGUUAGGGUUGGAGCUAGGGUUAGGGUUAGGGUUAGGGUUGGAGUUAGGGUUAGUGUUGGAGCUAGGGUUAGGGUUGGGCUUGGAGCUAGGAUUUUUCUGAGUGCACUGAACCAACUCCCGAGUCUCUAGGACAUUCCUAAAAAAAAUUGAAUUUUUCCCAUAGGAAUGCAUGGGUUAGGGUUAUGGUUAGGGUUAGGGUUGGAGCUAGGGUUAGGGUUAGGGUUAGGGUUGGAGUUAGGGUUAGUGUUGGAGCUAGGGUUAGGGUUGGGCUUGGAGCUAGGAUUUUUCUGAGUGCACUGAACCAACUCCCGAGUCUCUAGGACAUUCCUAAAAAAAUUUGAUUUUUUCCCAUAGGAAUGCAUGGGUUAGGGUUAUGGUUAGUGUUAGGGUUGGAGCUAGGGUUAGGGUUAGGGUUAGGGUUGGAGUUAGGGUUAGUGUUGGAGCUAGGGUUAGGGUUGGGCUUGGAGCUAGGACUUUUCUGAGUGCACUGAACCAACUCCCGAGUCUCUAGGACAUUCCUAAAAAAAUUUGAUUUUUUCCCAUAGGAAUGCAUGGGUUAGGGUUAGGGUUAGGGUUGGAGCUAGGGUUAGGGUUAGGGUUAGGGUUGGAGUUAGGGUUAGUGUUGGAGCUAGGGUUAGGGUUGGGCUUGGAGCUAGGAUUUUUCUGAGUGCACUGAACCAACUCCCGAGUCUCUAGGACAUUCCUAAAAAAAUUUGAUUUUUUUCCCAUAGGAAUGCAUGGGUUAGGGUUAUGGUUAGGGUUAGGGUUGGAGCUAGGGUUAGGGUUAGGGUUGGAGUUAGGGUUAGUGUUGGAGCUAGGGUUAGGGUUGGGCUUGGAGCUAGGAUUUUUCUGAGUGCACUGAACCAACUCCCGAGUCUCUAGGAUGUUCCUAAAAAAUUUUGAUUUUUUCCCAUAGGAAUGCAUGGGUUAGGGUUAGGGUUAGGGUUGGAGCUAGGGUAAGGGUUAGGGUUAGGGUUGGAGUUAGGAUUAGUGUUGGAGCUAGGGUUAGGGUUGGGCUUGGAGCUAGGAUUUUUCUGAGUGCACUGAACCAACUCCCGAGUCUCUAGGACAUUCCUAAAGAAAUUUGAUUUUUUCCCAUAGGAAUGCAUGGGUUAGGGUUAGGGUUAGGGUUGGAGCUAGGGUUAGGGUUAGGGUUAGGGUUGGAGUUAGGGUUAGUGUUGGAGCUAGGGUUAGGGUUGGGCUUGGAGCUAGGAUUUUUCUGAGUGCACUGAACCAACUCCCGAGUCUCUAGGACAUUCCUAAAAAAAUUUGAUUUUUUCCCAUAGGAAUGCAUGGGUUAGGGUUAUGGUUAGGGUUAGGGUUGGAGCUAGGGUUAGGGUUAGGGUUGGAGUUAGGGUUAGUGUUGGAGCUAGGGUUAGGGUUGGGCUUGGAGCUAGGAUUUUUCUGAGUGCACUGAACCAACUCCCGAGUCUCUAGGAUGUUCCUAAAAAAAUUUGAUUUUUUCCCAUAGGAAUGCAUGGGUUAGGGUUAGGGUUAGGGUUGGAGCUAGGGUUAGGGUUAGGGUUAGGGUUGGAGUUAGGAUUAGUGUUGGAGCUAGGGUUAGGGUUGGGCUUGGAGCUAGGAUUUUUCUGAGUGCACUGAACCAACUCCCGAGUCUCUAGGACAUUCCUAAAGAAAUUUGAUUUUUUCCCAUAGGAAUGCAUGGGUUAGGGUUAGGGUUAGGGUUGGAGCUAGGGUUAGGGUUAGGGUUAGGGUUGGAGUUAGGGUUAGUGUUGGAGCUAGGGUUAGGGUUGGGCUUGGAGCUAGGAUUUUUCUGAGUGCACUGAACCAACUCCCGAGUCUCUAGGACAUUCCUAAAAAAAUUUGAUUUUUUCCCAUAGGAAUGCAUGGGUUAGGGUUAUGGUUAGGGUUAGGGUUGGAGCUAGGGUUAGGGUUAGGGUUAGGGUUGGAGUUAGGGUUAGUGUUGGAGCUAGGGUUAGGGUUGGGCUUGGAGCUAGGAUUUUUCUGAGUGCACUGAACCAACUCCCGAGUCUCUAGGACGUUCCUAAAAAAAUUUGAUUUUUUCCCAUAGGAAUGCAUGGGUUAGGGUUAGGGUUAGGGUUGGAGCUAGGGUUAGGGUUAGGGUUAGGGUUGGAGUUAGGGUUAGUGUUGGAGCUAGGGUUAGGGUUGGGCUUGGAGCUAGGAUUUUUCUGAGUGCACUGAACCAACUCCCGAGUCUCUAGGACAUUCCUAAAAAAAUUUGAUUUUUUUCCCAUAGGAAUGCAUGGGUUAGGGUUAGGGUUAGGGUUGGAGCUAGGGUUAGGGUUAGGGUUAGGGUUGGAGUUAGGGUUAGUGUUGGAGCUAGCGUUAGGGUUGGGCUUGGAGCUAGGAUUUUUCUGAGUGCAAUGAACCAACUCCCGAGUCUCUAGGACAUUCCUAAAAAAAUUUGAUUUUUUCCCAUAGGAAUGCAUGGGUUAGGGUUAUGGUUAGGGUUAGGGUUGGAGCUAGGGUUAGGGUUAGGGUUAGGGUUUGAGUUAGGGUUAGUGUCGGAGCUAGGGUUAGGGUUGGGCUUGGAGCUAGGAUUUUUCUGAGUGCACUGAACCAACUCCCGAGUCUCUAGGACGUUCCUAAAAAAAUUGAUUUUUUCCCAUAGGAAUGCAUGGGUUAGGGUUAGGGUUAGGGUUGGACCUAGGGUUAGGGUUGGAGUUAGGGUUAGUGUUGGAGCUAGGGUUAGGGUUGGGCUUGGAGCUAGGAUUUUUCUGAGUGCACUGAACCAACUCCCGAGUCUCUAGGACAUUCCUAAAAAAAUUUGAUUUUUUCCCAUAGGAAUGCAUGGGUUAGGGUUAGGGUUAGGGUUGGAGCUAGGGUUAGGGUUAGGGUUAGGGUUGGAGUUAGGGUUAGUGUUGGAGCUAGGGUUAGGGUUGGGCUUGGAGCUAGGAUUUUUCUGAGUGCACUGAACCAACUCCCGAGUCUCUAGGACAUUCCUAAAAAAAAUUGAUUUUUUCCCAUAGGAAUGCAUGGGUUAGGGUUAUGGUUAGGGUUAGGGUUGGAGCUAGGGUUAGGGUUAGGGUUAGGGUUGGAGUUAGGGUUAGUUUUGGAGCUAGGGUUAGGGUUGGGCUUGGAGCUAGGAUUUUUCUGAGUGCACUGAACCAACUCCCGAGUCUCUAGGACGUUCCUAAAAAAUUUGAUUUUUUCCAAUAGGAAUGCAUGGGUUAGGGUUAGGGUUAGGGUUGGAGCUAGGGUUAGGGUUAGGGUUAGGGUUGGAGUUAGGGUUAGGGUUGGA